rnacentral:rRNA from 1 species
CCCUUAGAUGUUCUGGGCCGCACGCGUGCUACACUGAGUGGAUCAGCGGGUCAGGUUGCGCGAAAGUGUUUCCUAAUCUUGAAAUCCGCUCGUGAUGGGGAUUGACGGUUGCAAUUUUCCGUCAUGAACGAGGAAUACCUUGUAAGCGCGGGUCAUCAUCCCGCGCUGAAUACGUCCCUGCCCUUUGUACACACCGCCCGUCGCUCCUACCGAUUGAGUGGUCCGGUGAGGCUUUGGGAUCUGAGCGGAAAGAACGUUUCGCUGUUUCUGCUCGGAAAACUCAGUCGAACCUUAUCAUUUAGAGGAAGGAGAAGUCGUAACA